UUUGAAUUGUAAUUUUGAAAUGUAUUGCCAAUGGAGGCGCAGGUGCAAGCCUAUUGAAAGAAAGCGUCAAUGAGGGUGAGAUUCCUUUUUGUCAUUUGCAGUCCUCCGUGCACGGUAUAUAUUUGACGAGUCACACUCCUCGGCAUUGGAAUGCAAAGUGGGUGGUAAAUUCCAUGUAAAGGUAAAUAUAUUAUUGAGACUGAUAGCAAACAAGUACCAUGAGGGAAAUAUGAAAAGGACUUUGAAAAGAGAAUUAAAAGAGUCUGCAUUUGCUGAACAGAAAGCAAACAGAAUUGAUUUUACUUGGUGAGAUUGUUGUGCUUACUCUAUCAUUUAUAUGGUUGAUGUGGGUGCGAUGGUUCUUACCUUGAAUGUCAGCUUCUAUUUCUGCAAAUCAUUACCCUUGCACAUGAAUGGUAAUUUGCCUGCGGGUAUUGGAAUGCAUGUGUUUGCAAUGAUUUGUGAUUUGACGCAUGUGUUUGGUGAAAUUUGUAUAUGCUCUUUUGUCGAAGGGGAAAGCUUACUUUUUUGAGCAUUGCAAGCCCUUACACAUCAGUGCUGGCAAAAUGUUUCUGCUUGACCCGUCUUGAAACACGGACCAAGGAGUCUAACAGAUGUGCAAGUUCGUGGGUGGCAAACCUUUUUGCGCAAUGAAAGUAUUGGCUGGGAUACUUGCACCAGCAGCCGACCAAUUAGCAGACAGAGGUUUGAGUUUGAGCAUAUCUAUUAGGACCCGAAAGAUGGUGAACUAUGCCUGAACAGAAUGAAUUCAGAGGAAACUCUGAUGGAGGUUCGUAUCGAUACUGACGUGCAAAUCGUUCGUCAUACUUGGGUAUAGGGGCGAAAGACUAAUCGAACCAUCUAGUAGCUGGUUCCCUCCGAAGUUUCCCUCAGGAUAGCUGGAGUUGCACAGUUUUAUCAGGUAAAGCGAAUGAUUAGAGGAAUUGGGGACACGCUGUCCUUGACCUAUUCUCAAACUUUAAAUGGGUAAGAUGCAAUGGUUGCUUUAUUGAACUUUUGGAAUAAAUGGCAAUAUCAGGUGGGCCAUUUUUGGUAAGCAGAACUGGCGAUGAGGGAUGAACCUAACGUUGGGUUAAGGUGCUUAAUUGCUUGCUCAUUAGAUACCAGAAAGGGUGUUGGUUCAUUUUAACAGCAGGACGGUGGUCAUGGAAGUCGAAAUCCGCUAAGGAGUGUGUAACAACUCACCUGCCGAAUGGACUAGCCCCGAAAAUGGAUGGCGCUCAAGCGGGUGACCGAUACCCAACCACUGUUGCAAAUAGUGUCAGUGUGUAGGAGGGCAUGGCGGUUUGUGAUGCAGC
rnacentral:rRNA from 1 species